AAKCUUYUUUAUKGUGACUUGGUNAAAGAUUGGGGAAAAUUAACCGGCUNCUUAUUAAUAAUAAAAUUUANUUUUUUAAUUAAAAAGUUAAAAUAAAUUUAAAAGACGAGAAGACCCCAUAGAGUUUUAUAAAUUAUAUUAAGAAAGUUUUAUAUAAGUAUAAUUAAUUUUUAUAAUAUAAUUUAAUUAAUUGGGGUGAUUAAAAAAUUAAUAAAACUUUUUUUUUUAAAAACAUAGGUAAAUGAAUAUAUUGAUCCAUUAUUAAUGAGUGUAAGAAAAAAUUACCUUGGGGAUAACAGCGUAAUUUUUUUUUUUAGUUCAAAUAAAAAAAARAGUUUGCGACCUCGAUKUUGGAUUAAAAUAAAAUUUAAAUGC
rnacentral:rRNA from 1 species